UACAGAGGGGGCAAGCGUUAUUCGGAAUUAUUGGGCGUAAAGGGCGCGUAGGCGGCUUUGCAAGUGACGGGUGAAAUCCCUCGGCUUAACCGAGGAACUGCCUGUCAGACUGCAUGGCUUGAGACCGGGAGAGGUGAGUGGAACUCCCAGUGUAGCGGUGAAAUGCGCAGAUAUCGGGAGGAACACCAAUGGCGAAGGCAGCUCGCUGGGACGUUACUGACGCUGAGACGCGAAAGCGUGGGGAGCAAACAGG
rnacentral:rRNA from 1 species